rnacentral:rRNA from 1 species
AGUGAAAUAGAACCUGAAACCGUGUGCUUACAAGUAGUCAGAGCCCGUUAAUGGGUGAUGGCGUGCCUUUUGUAGAAUGAACCGGCGAGUUACGAUUUGAUGCAAGGUUAAGCAGUAAAUGUGGAGCCGUAGCGAAAGCGAGUCUGAAUAGGGCGUUUAGUAUUUGGUCGUAGACCCGAAACCAGGUGAUCUACCCUUGGUCAGGUUGAAGUUCAGGUAACACUGAAUGGAGGACCGAACCGACUUACGUUGAAAAGUGAGCGGAUGAACUGAGGGUAGCGGAGAAAUUCCAAUCGAACCUGGAGAUAGCUGGUUCUCUCCGAAAUAGCUUUAGGGCUAGCCUCAAGUGAUGAUUAUUGGAGGUAGAGCACUGUUUGGACGAGGGGCCCCUCUCGGGUUACCGAAUUCAGACAAACUCCGAAUGCCAAUUAAUUUAACUUGGGAGUCAGAACAUGGGUGAUAAGGUCCGUGUUCGAAAGGGAAACAGCCCAGACCACCAGCUAAGGUCCCAAAAUAUAUGUUAAGUGGAAAAGGAUGUGGCGUUGCCCAGACAACUAGGAUGUUGGCUUAGAAGCAGCCAUCAUUUAAAGAGUGCGUAAUAGCUCACUAGUCGAGUGACACUGCGCCGAAAAUGUACCGGGGCUAAACAUAUUACCGAAGCUGUGGAUUGUCCUUUGGACAAUGGUAGGAGAGCGUUCUAAGGGCGUUGAAGCAUGAUCGUAAGGACAUGUGGAGCGCUUAGAAGUGAGAAUGCCGGUGUGAGUAGCGAAAGACGGGUGAGAAUCCCGUCCACCGAUUGACUAAGGUUUCCAGAGGAAGGCUCGUCCGCUCUGGGUUAGUCGGGUCCUAAGCUGAGGCCGACAGGCGUAGGCGAUGGAUAACAGGUUGAUAUUCCUGUACCACCUAUAAUC